rnacentral:rRNA from 1 species
AUUGAACGCUGGCGGCAUGCUUUACACAUGCAAGUCGAACGGUAACAGGUUAAGCUGACGAGUGGCGAACGGGUGAGUAAUGCAUCGGAACGUGCCCGGUCGUGGGGGAUAACGCAGCGAAAGCUGCGCUAAUACCGCAUACGAUCUGAGGAUGAAAGCGGGGGACCAUAAGGCCUCGCGCGAUCGGAGCGGCCGAUGUCAGAUUAGGUAGUUGGUGGGGUAAAGGCUCACCAAGCCAGCGAUCUGUAGCUGGUCUGAGAGGACGACCAGCCAGACUGGGACUGAGACACGGCCCAGACUCCUACGGGAGGCAGCAGUGGGGAAUUUUGGACAAUGGGCGAAAGCCUGAUCCAGCAAUGCCGCGUGCAGGAAGAAGGCCUUCGGGUUGUAAACUGCUUUUGUACGGAGCGAAAAGGUCUCCUCUAAUACAGGGGGCUCAUGACGGUACCGUAAGAAUAAGCACCGGCUAACUACGUGCCAGCCGCCGCCGUAA